rnacentral:rRNA from 1 species
AUUGAACGCUGGCGGAAUGCUUUACACAUGCAAGUCGAGCGACAGCGCGGGGGCAACCCUGGCGGCGAGCGGCGAACGGGUGAGUAAUACAUCGGAACGUGUCCUUAAGUGGGGGAUAGCUCGGCGAAAGCCGGAUUAAUACCGCAUAAGCUCUGAGGAGGAAAGCGGGGGCUCCGUAAGGACCUCGCGCUGUUGGAGCGGCCGGUGUCGGAUUAGCUAGUUGGUGGGGUAAAGGCCCACCAAGGCGACGAUCCGUAGCUGGUCUGAGAGGAUGAUCAGCCACACUGGAACUGAGACACGGUCCAGACUCCUACGGGAGGCAGCAGUGGGGAAUUUUGGACAAUGGGGG